GCAGGGAUUCCGGUUAGAUCAAGUUAGUUAUGGGACCUUGAUCAAUGGGUUAUGUAAACUUGGACAAACAAGAACAGCCCUACAACUGCUGAGACGAGUUGAUGAGAAACUGCUUCAACCUACUGUGGUCGGUUAAAAGAAGCAAUUCAUCUGUUUAAUAAAAUGGUAUCGGAAAACAUCAACCAUAAUAUUUAUACCUUUAAUAUAUUGGUUGAUGCAUUUUGUAAAGAAGGAAAAGUGAAAGAAGCUAAAAAUAUGUUUGCUAUGAUGAUGAGAAAAGGUGUUAAACCUGAUGUUGUUACUUAUAACUCUUUAAUGGAUGGAUAUUGCUUAGUUAAAGAAAUUAACAAGGCCAAUGGUAUAUUCAACACUAUGGCUCAGAUGGGAGUGGUUCCUGAUGUUCAAUGCUACAAUAUCAUGAUUAAUGGAUUUUGUAAGAUUAAAAUGGUAGAUGAAGCCAUGAAUCUCUUCAAUGAAAUGCUUUGUAGAAAAAUUAUUCCUGAUACGAUAACUUACAGUUCCCUUAUUGAUGGUUUGUGCAAAUCGGGAAGAAUCUCAUAUGCUUUGGAGCUUGUCGAUGAGAUGUAUGAUAGAGGUCAACCACCUAAUAUAAUUACUUACAAUUCUAUAUUGGAUGCUUUGUGCAAAAACCACCAUGUUGACAAGGCAAUUGCUUUAUUAACAAAAAUUAAAGAUAUGGGUAUUCAACCAAACAUGUGCACAUAUAAUAUUCUUAUUGAUGGAUUGUGUAAAGGUGGAAGAUUGAAUGACGCUCAAAAGGUUUUUGAGGAUCUUCUGGUCAAAGGCUACAAUCUUGAUGUCUAUACAUAUACUGCUAUGAUCCAUGGGUUUUGUAAAAAUGGGUUUCUUGAUGAAGCAUUGGCCAUACUAUCAAAACUGAAAGACAAUAGUUGCAUUCCAAAUGCCGCAACGUAUGAAAUUAUUAUCCGUUCUCUAUUUGAUAAUGAUGAAAAUGAUAAGGCAGAGAAACUUCUUCGUGAAAUGAUUUCAAGAGGUCUGUUGUAAGACUAAAACUAGAAUUUAUUGUUCUUAAUUGAGCUUAAGAAGAUGUGUUGGUCGUAGGAAACUGGGUUAAUUAAGAUUUGUUCUGUUGAGCCUAUCUUAGGGAUACUAAAUUGAAUUGGGACAGAACAAGAGAAAGGAGUUGGAGCUAGUGCAACCUCCUCCUUGUCAGUACCAAAGAAUCGAUGCGGAUUUCAAAUCAUCAAUAGUAAAGUACACAUUUUUUACCUUAUCAUGUUAAAAUAUUUAUACAAAUUAUAGUGGAGGUGUUUACUUUUUGUGUUGUCUGCCAACAAUCAAAGUCAUUUUUAACAUCAUCACAAAAUAUUUAAACCUCAAACAACAAAAACAGUGUUGGUAGCAUUUGGAUCAUAUGUUUGCAGAGAAAAUAGUUAUUAAAAAACACUCGAGACUCUCUAGAUGCGGUUUUGUAUUUUGCACUUUUGUUUUUUGACACAUUGUUUUUAAACUUGCACAUUGACACACAUUGUUUCUUUCAAAUUAUAAAACACUAUGGCAGUAUGGCUCAGAUGGGUCAUGGGAGUGGCUCCUAACGUUCGGAGCUACACUAUCGUGAUUAAUGGAUUUUGUAAGAUUAAAAUGGUAGAUGAAGCCAUUAAUCUCUUCAAUGAAAUGCAUAGCAGAAAAAUUAUUCCUAAUGCGGUAUCGUACACUGCUCUUAUUGAUGGAUCGUGUAAUGUUGGAAGACUAGAGGAUGCACUAGAGAUUUUCAAAGAUCUUUUGGUCAAAGGCUACAAUCUAAAUGUCUAUACAUAUACCGUUAUAAUCAAGGGAUUUUGCAAAACGGGAAUGUUUGACGAAGCAUUGACCAUGCUAUCAAAAUGGAAGACAUUGGUUGCAUUCUGAAUGCUAAAGCUUAUGAAACAGUUAUUUCUUCCCUCCUUAAAAAAGGUGAAAAUUGUAAAGCAUAGAAGCUUUCUUCGUGAAAUGAUUGCAAGAGAUCUACUGUAUGAUCAAGAUGUUAGAAAUAAAGUUUUAAUCCUUCUACUGAAGUCUACCAGGAACAAAUAGGUUAUCAUUUUUUUCCCUACAUUGCAUUGCAUUUAUCCUUUGGAUUUGUGUGUCUGCCCUUCCUUCUGACCAUCUUAAUAGAACUAAUCUUGCAAUUUCUGAUAAAUUUUGAAAACAUUUUCCAAAUGCUGAAGCAUUGAUGUUGGGUUGCACUUCAAAAUUCCAGUGCCCAAGUCUGGGAACAAUGAUUUCAGUCCCCAAAAGUUAAAAAAUCUAAGCACUGUCUUGAUAGGUUGGACAUUUAUUGUUUGCUGAUGUCAUUGAAAUUUGUUUCUUCAUAACCAAUCAUGGAAGCAUUGUCCUUUCAGUUCACGUUGCUAUUUUGUUGUCUGCCAUUAUGUGCAAGACUUUAAAUUCUGCUCAAGUUACUUUGGCAGCUGAUUCUGUUAUUAUUUUAGCUUCAGAAUCAUAUUUUCAGUAAUAAAAUGGAUUGCUUUUGGUUCAUAUUUAGCUAGUAGGGUUCCCUCCUUCUUUUAAAGUAGUUUUCCAUGUUCUGUAAAUUUUAUCUGUUUGAAUAUAUAUGUAAGUAUCUAUCCAAAUGGUCGAUGUCACAAGAAAUUCUGUUUUGUAAGUAUCUUUUAUAGCAAGUCUCCUUUUUGGAGGACAUGAAAUUGAAAGAUGGUUUAGCAUUAUGAUUCUUCUCAUGCUUAGUUGUU